GAAAUAUUUGCAGUCUGUUCUUAAGCUUGGAACGAUACAGAGAAGAUUAGCAUGGCCCCGGUCCAAGGAUGACACGCAAAAUCCUAAAGCUUUUCAAAUUUUU